GAUGAACGCUGGCGGCGUGCUUAACACAUGCAGGUCGAACGGAAAGGCCAGUGCUUGCACUGGUACUCGAGUGGCGAACGGGUGAGUAACACGUGGGUGAUCUGCCCUGUACUUCGGGAUAAGCUUGGGAAACUGGGUCUAAUACCGGAUAGGACAACUUUUUGGAUAUUGUUGUGGAAAGCUUUUGCGGUAUGGGAUGAGCUCGCGGCCUAUCAGCUUGUUGGUGGGGUAAUGGCCUACCAAGGCGUCGACGGGUAGCCGGCCUGAGAGGGUGUACGGCCACAUUGGGACUGAGAUACGGCCCAGACUCCUACGGGAGGCAGCAGUGGGGAAUAUUGCACAAUGGGCGCAAGCCUGAUGCAGCGACGCCGCGUGGGGGAUGAAGGCCUUCGGGUUGUAAACUCCUUUCGCUAGGGACGAAGCUUUUUUGUGACGGUACCUGGAGAAGAAGCACCGGCUAACUACGUG
rnacentral:rRNA from 1 species